rnacentral:rRNA from 1 species
AUACGUAGGGGGCAAGCGUUAUCCGGAUUUACUGGGUGUAAAGGGAGUGUAGGUGGCGAAGUAAGUUGGAUGUGAAAUUCCGGGGCUUAACCCUGGGCAUGCAUUCAAAACUGCUUUGCUAGAGUGCAGGAGAGGUAAGUGGAAUUCCUAGUGUAGCGGUGAAAUGCGUAGAUAUUAGGAGGAACACCAGUGGCGAAGGCGACUUACUGGACUGUAACUGACACUGAGGCUCGAAAGCGUGGGGAGCAAACAGGAUUAGAUACCCUGGAAGUCCACGCCGUAAACGAUGAAUACUAGGAGUUGGAGCCCAAAGGGCUUCGGUGCCGUCGCAAACGCAUUAAGUAUUCCACCUGGGGAGUACGUUCGCAAGAAUGAA